rnacentral:lncRNA from 1 species
CUUGUCCUCUUAUACCAAAAGCUUGGGGAGGAAUGGAAUUGCUAAUUCCAGGCUGCUGUACAGAAGGGCUUGGAGCCAUUGAAUUCAGUUGAGAUGGAGGAAUGGAAUUGACGAUUCCGGGCUGCUGUGUAGGAGGAGGACGUUGAGGUUGAGUCAUUGGAGGGAUGGAAUUGAUGAUUCCGGGCUGCUGUACAGGAGGGCUUGGAGCAGCCAUUGAAUUCGGUUGAGAUGGAGGAAUGGAAUUGACGAUUCCGGGCUGCUGUGUAGGAGGGCGUUGAGGUGGAGUCAUUGGAUUGGGUUGAGAUGGAGGAAGAGCUGAAAGAUUUAUCUGAGGAGGAGGGAUUUUAGCUGAAGCGGGCCCAUAUAAGGCUGCUUUUACUAUAUCUGGUGUUAAUUCUCUUUUGCUUUGUGCAACAGUUACAAGUUUA